ACGCGCUGGCGGGACUCGGUGAAAUUCCGAACCGGCGGUGAUCCGGGAGCCUGGCUCCUGGUAAGCCCGCGACCCGGUCGAGGAACCUCUCGAACGGUGGACCUGGUGAGAAUCCGGGGCCGACGGUUGGGCAGCCCCCAUGGCCGCCCAGACAGUCCGGAUGGGAGACAGCGCGA
rnacentral:ncRNA from 2 species